UGCCCUGAGAGGAUCUCUCCGCUGUCCUGGAGAGUCAUGGAGAGGCUCAAAUCAUGGAGAGAGACCCAACAAACAUCCCCUCCCCUCCUUGUUGAUGGGAUGACCCCUGGAAUUGAAGAAUUUUUCCAUGAGAAUUUAAAUUGUCUGCAUGUACAAAACAGGAUCGCGGUUGCAAGGCAGAAAUUGAAAAUUAUCCUCAAAAGGCCUCUCCGGUCAUCACGUCUGUCUACCUCAUGAUCUUUCCAGACGCUACUGGAGACGCUGGAGAAGAAAGCUCAGGUACUACGGAAAAGUACUGCUGUAUGCUGAAUUUGUGCCAGAGCCUUGAACCCCAACCCAUCCACCCACAAAUCCCUGCAGUUUCUAUGAGGGAGCAG